UACGAAGGGGGCUAGCGUUGUUCGGAAUCACUGGGCGUAAAGCGCACGUAGGCGGAUUCUUAAGUCAGGGGUGAAAUCCCGAGGCUCAACCUCGGAACUGCCUUUGAUACUGGGAAUCUUGAGUAUGGUAGAGGUUGGUGGAACAGCAAGUGUAGAGGUGAAAUUCGUAGAUAUUUGCUAGAACACCAGUGGCGAAGGCGGCCAACUGGACCAUAACUGACGCUGAGGAGCGAAAGCGUGGGGAGCGAACAGG
rnacentral:rRNA from 1 species